UACGGGGGGAGCAAGCGUUGUUCGGAAUUACUGGGCGUAAAGAGCGUGUAGGCGGCCAGAUAGGUCUGCUGUGAAAACUCGAGGCUCAACCUCGAGAUGUCGGCGGAAACCAUUUGGCUAGAGUCCGGAAGAGGAAAGUGGAAUUCCUGGUGUAGCGGUGAAAUGCGCAGAUAUCAGGAAGAACACCCGUGGCGAAGGCGGCUUUCUGGGACGGUACUGACGCUGAGACGCGAAAGCGUGGGGAGCGAACAGG
rnacentral:rRNA from 1 species